GACGAACGCUGGCGGCGUGCUUAACACAUGCAAGUCGAACGGUCAAGCGCCUUCCUUUUUGGUCUGUUUUUAUGAGUGGCCAACGGGUUAAUAACACGUUAGUCUCCUUCUCCCUUCUUCUUGAUAUCCGCAUGCAAGUGUUGCUACUACGUGAUAUUCUGGGUCUCUCGCUUGAUGGGUCUGAGAAAGAUUUUCUUUCGGUUGUGGAUGGGCUCGCGGCCUAUCAGCUUGUUGGUGGGGUGAUGGCCUACCAAGGCGGUGAAGAGUAGCCGGCCUGAGAGGGCGGACGGUCAGAGUGGGAAGGAGAGACGGAGAAGACUACGACGGGAGGCAGCAGUGGGGAAUAUGGAACAAUGGGAGCAAGGAUGAUGCAGCGACGCGGCGUGAGGGAUGGAGGCCGUAGGGUUGUGAACCUCUUUCGGCAGUGAAGCAGGCCUGCAUCGUUUGUGGGUGGGUUGACGGUAGCUGGAUAAGAAGCGACGGCUAACUACGUG
rnacentral:rRNA from 1 species